rnacentral:rRNA from 1 species
GAUGAACGCUAGCGAUAGGCCUAACACAUGCAAGUCGAGGGGCAUCACAUGAAGUAGCAAUACGGAUGGUGGCGACCGGCGCACGGGUGAGUAACACGUAUGCAACCUGCCUUCAACAAGGGGAUAACCCGUUGAAAGACGGACUAAUACCCUAUAACACAGGGGUCCCGCAUGGGGAAUAUUUGUUAAAGGACAACCGGUUGAAGAUGGGCAUGCGUUCCAUUAGCUAGUUGGCGGGGUAACGGCCCACCAAGGCAACGAUGGGAUAGGGGGAACUGAGAGGUUUAUCCCCCACACUGGUACUGAGACACGGGACCAGACUCCUACGGGAGGCAGCAGUGAGGAAUAUUGGUCAAUGGACGCAAGUCUGAACCAGCCACGGUCGCGUGAAGGAAGACGGCCCUACGGGUUUAAACUUCUUUUAUACGGGAAUAAAGUGCCCCACGCGUGGGGUUUUGCAUGUACCGUAUGAAUAAGGAUCGGCUAACUCCGUGCCAGCAGCCGCGGUAAGUACGCAG